UACGUAGGGGGCAAGCGUUGUCCGGAAUUAUUGGGCGUAAAGAGCGUGUAGGCGGCCAGGUAGGUCCGCUGUGAAAACUCGAGGCUCAACCUCGAGAUGUCGGCGGAAACCAUCUGGCUAGAGUCCGGAAGAGGAAAGUGGAAUUCCCGGUGUAGCGGUGAAAUGCGCAGAUAUCGGGAAGAACACCCGUGGCGAAGGCGGCUUUCUGGGACGGUACUGACGCUGAGACGCGAAAGCGUGGGGAGCGAACAGG
rnacentral:rRNA from 1 species